rnacentral:rRNA from 1 species
GAUGAACGCUAGCGGCAGGCUUAACACAUGCAAGUCGAGGGGUAUAAGUAGCUUGCUACUUAGAGACCGGCGGAUGGGUGAGUAACGCGUAUGCAAUCUACCUUGUACAGGGGGAUAGCCCAGGGAAACUUGGAUUAAUAUCCCAUAGUAUUAUUGAGUGGCAUCAUUUAAUAAUUAAAGAUUUAUCGGUACAAGAUGAGCGUGCGUCCCAUUAGUUAGUUGGUGUGGUAACGGCACACCAAGGCAUCGAUGGGUAGGGGCCCUGAGAGGGGGAUCCCCCACACUGGUACUGAGACACGGACCAGACUCCUACGGGAGGCAGCAGUGAGGAAUAUUGGACAAUGGGCGAGGGCCUGAUCCAGCCAUGCCGCGUGCAGGAAGACUGCCCUAUGGGUUGUAAACUGCUUUUGUACGGGAAGAAACCCCUUUACGUGUAGAGGAUUGACGGUACCGUACGAAUAAGGAUCGGCUAACUCCGUGCCAGCAGCCGCGGUAAUACGGAGGAUCCGAGCGUUAUCCGGAAUCAUUGGGUUUAAAGGGUCCGUAGGCGGAUAGUUAAGUCAGCGGUGAAAGUCUGCAGCUCAACUGUAGAAUUGCCGUUGAUACUGGUUAUCUUGAAUCAAAUUGAAGUGGCUGGAAUAUGUGGUGUAGCGGUGAAAUGCAUAGAUAUCACAUGGAACACCUAUUGCGAAGGCAAGUCACUAAAUUUGCAUUGACGCUGAUGGACG